AGAGUCCCGUCCCGGUNGAAAGUCCGUGAACCGGCGCAUGCCGCUCAGCGGAGAGCAAGCACGCGGGCCGCAACAUGAAGUGAAGCCUGCAGCCUCGACAGAUUUACAAGCCGCAGGCCGAGCCGCUCAUGUCACGGCGAAGGCAACAUCACUGCAGCGAGAUCCGAAGCGCUGUGGUGACUGCGGCGGGGUAGGGGGCG
rfam:Rubrivivax sp. SCN 71-131 ABS84_C0017, whole genome shotgun sequence.